UCACAAAUUACAGAUUAUACCAUCUUCUCUAGGACAUCAAUGGCCCUGAGUAAAGUUUUGCAAACCCGCAUUAUGCCUUGCAUCUGGAAUUGAGAGGUGCACAUUAAGUUCAAACCCUACCUAUCUUCCAUUUCUUUACUAUCAGUGAUCCACUGAAUCAAAAAGUACAUUCUUCUGCAGAAAAGUUAAAAGGAAGAAACGCUAAAAGGAUCGAAUUUUCCACUUUGUUUUUGUAUGUGAAUUCAAGGCAGUUACAUCACAGGAAAGCAGCAUCAUGGAUUUCUUAAAGACCCUAUGAUCGGAGAGCUCCUGAACGAGACAGUUAUUAACCACAUCUGAAAUUCCGAAACCCUAAGUGGAACACUAAAAAGGACAUAAAUUUUACAGAUAUAGAAAGGAUUAUGGAAAGGACUAUUUUCUCCAGGGAAUCCGGGGUCUAAGUGUUCUUCAGAUCAAAAAGAGCUGCCAGCUUCACGAGGUGAGCCUCCACCUCCAUUAGGGUUUCCUUCUUUUCCAUUCUUUGACGCCACAGAGAUAUCAGAGCUAUGGUUUCCUUCUUUUCCAUUCUGGUUUCCUUCUUUUCCGUUCUUUGAAGCCACAGAGCUGGCAAUAGAAGCAAGGAUAUUGGCCUUGAUUUGGCCUCUCCGUGGAGGUUUCUCAUCUCUUUUGCUUUACUUUCCACUGAUGUCAUUUCUAGGAAUAUUUCAGAAUAAAACCUUGACACAGAGACUUUUGAGUGAGAGAGAAAUAAUCGCAGAGGAAUAAGAGAGAGAGUUUAAUGAGACAGUUAAUGGAGAGAGAGAGUUGAAUGAGAGAGUUAAUGGAGAGAGAGAGAGUUGAAUGAGAGAGUUAAUGGAGCGAGAGAGUUAAUGGAGCGAGAGAGUUGAUGGCGAGAGUGAGUUGGGAGGAAUGAAAGCGAGUCUUGAUAAGGUGAGUUAGGGAAUUUUGCAGAGACAAAAAGAGGGAAUUGGAGAAAGAGAGAAUUUUGCAGAGAGAAGUAAAAGACAGAGGGAGUUUAGCUGAAAGAGAGAGGAGAGAUAAACGUUGAGAGAGAGAGAGAGAAAGAGAGAGAGAAAGAGAGAGAG
rnacentral:lncRNA from 1 species